rnacentral:rRNA from 1 species
UACAGAGGGUGCAAGCGUUGUUCGGAAUUACUGGGCGUAAAGCGUGCGCAGGCGGCUUCGCAAGUCAGACGUGAAAUCCCCGGGCUUAACCUGGGAAUGGCGUUUGAAACUACGGAGCUGGAGUGUGGCAGAGGGAGGUAGAAUUCCACGUGUAGCGGUGAAAUGCGUAGAUAUGUGGAGGAAUACCGAUGGCGAAGGCAGCCUCCUGGGCCAACACUGACGCUCAUGCACGAAAGCGUGGGGAGCAAACAGG